CUUAAAGAUUAUUGUCUACAAGGAAUUUUGUAGAUUAAGUGAGUCGAGGUUAUCAUUUGAUAAACAUCGCAGAUUUCUUACAUUAAUAUCGGGGAUAGGUAUUUGGUGGGCAUAUGGGUAUUAGACAUGUAGAUGUUUUGUGGACUGAUAAUCAAAAGGUUGGGAAAGGUGGGAAAUUUAUGAUUAGGUGCUUUGGUCUUAUUGACUGGUUAUGAACAUUUCG